GCAGCCUUUGUGCUAUGCAGAGUAUGCGCAGAGGAAGAUGGAAGCUGGCUGUCAAUCAAAAAGGGAAGCGAACGGAGCUGAAGCGGUUCAAGUUCUGCAGGUUCUUUUGAAAACUCUGACCCAGAGUCACACGCUGACUUUGGUUCUUUGCGGGAAUGGGACUCAUUCUCAGGGUUUCAGGACCAGCUGUUGUUCAGCCUGAGAGUCCAGCUCAGAUUUGGAAGCCUAGGAUCGUGGAGCUCUGGAGAUGGGUGGAUCAAGAGUUGUGUCACAGCUGGAGGUCCGUCUGUCUGUCAUCGUGGGAGAGUCAGAAUAUCUGUUGUGGGCCCAGAGACCCAGGACCUUUGUGCUCUUAAGGCACAGAACUCUAAAGAGUGACAUAAUGGAUUUUUAACAUCGCAAACUAGUGAGUUGUUUGUUAUGUCUCCCCGCUCGCUGGGCAAACAGAGACACCUCCUUCUCCGUUAUUCGGGAGAGAGAGCCUGUGGUAUGUUGAAUGUUGAGUGAGACAAAGUCUUUGCGGUAACUGCAAGUCUGUGUCUGUGUCUUUGCUUUGCUCACGCUGGAGUGCUCAGUGGUGGGUUUCAAUGCUUUUUUCAUGCUGGUGGGGGGAGAGGGGGGACUGUUUCUUGCUGUAGCUUACGUGUGGAAGGGAGGGCAGCUUGAGGCAGGGCUUUGGACAUUUAACAUUCAUUCUAUGGGGCAUUUCUCUGUUUUCAUGGAUGUUUGCAAAGAAAAUGAAUUUCAGAAUGUAUACUGUAUACAUUUCUCUGACAUUAAAUUGUACCGUUAAACCUUUGAAA